CAUGUCUGCCUGUCAUGGAAGCCACCCAGUCUGUGGUCUUUCCUCAUAGCCCCUGGAGCAGACUGAUUCCGCACGAUGGCAGUGGGACAACUCUGGUCAAGCACUCACCCCAGCAGCUGGGCUCUGGCCGUCCCGGACCCACAGAUUCACCUGGCCAGCUGCAGACCUGAGCUCAGGUAAGACUGCAGGUGCCUUAAGCCCAGAUCACAAUUGGGCAGAGAAGCAGGCAGAAAGAGGAAAGGAAGCAGGCUCCCUGCUGAGCAGAGAGCAGGAUGCGGGGCUCAAUCCCAAGACCCUGGGAUCAUGACCUGAGCCGAAGACAGAGGCUUUAACCCACUGAGCCACCCAGGCGCCCCGAUCUUGUGGUUUUUCAGUGGACUUCUCUAUGAGCCCUGGGAGGACGGAGACCAAGUCCUUCUUGUUUAAUUCCACAUCCCUGGGUCUAAC